AGGGUUUAGAGGAGUGCAUUCAAAUAAUACUCCUAACAGUUGGAUAAACUGUCAUGAGGGCAUUUGGCUGUGAAGUUGCAAUGAGUGGAGAGGCAUUGACAUUGUUGCUGAUGGUGACGUUCCUGGUUGAUGACAUAGAAGACUUAAUUUCCUCCUCAUGAUUAAUCUCUCAGUUGGAGAGUAUACACACUCUUACACAGAAUCCAGGACGAAAGCCCUCAUCAGAUGCUUACAUCAUGAUCUUGGACUUCCCAGCCUCCAGACUGAUGCUAUGGAAGAUCAGAAAAUAUAAAUUUAUGAACUGCUAUAAACUGUUAUUUUCUUCGUGAAGAUCAGCACAACAAGAUGUUCCAGACUUAUUCAACAUAUUGUCCAGCCAGUCCUGGAAACAAUCAGUUCCCUGAGGACAGAAUUAAAGUUUAGAGACCUGAAUCUGGGCCCCAGGGGUGGUCAUUACUACUGGUUUGCCACUGCUUCUGUAGCUUUUCAGUGAAGAGGUAGUUAUGUAAUAUGUAUCUAAAAAAAUAAAUUCAAGUUAUGUAUUUUAAAAAUAAA
rnacentral:lncRNA from 1 species